AUUGAACGCUGGCGGCAGGCUUAACACAUGCAAGUCGAGCGGAGAUGAGGUGCUUGCACCUUAUCUUAGCGGCGGACGGGUGAGUAAUGCUUAGGAAUCUGCCUAUUAGUGGGGGACAACAUUCCGAAAGGAAUGCUAAUACCGCAUAAGUCCUACGGGAGAAAGCAGGGGAUCUUCGGACCUUGCGCUAAUAGAUGAGCCUAAGUCGGAUUAGCUAGUUGGUGGGGUAAAGGCCUACCAAGGCGACGAUCUGUAGCGGGUCUGAGAGGAUGAUCCGCCACACUGGGACUGAGACACGGCCCAGACUCCUACGGGAGGCAGCAGUGGGGAAUAUUGGGCAAUGGGGGGAACCCUGAUCCAGCCAUGCCGCGUGUGUGAAGAAGGCCUUAUGGUUGUAAAGCACUUUAAGCGAGGAGGAGGCUACUGAGACUAAUACUCUUGGAUAGUGGACGUUACUCGCAGAAUAAGCACCGGCUAACUCUGUGCCAGCCGCCGCUGUAAAAC
rnacentral:rRNA from 1 species